GCAUUGCCGAGGAGUCCCACAGCAGGACGAAACGGCCGUCCAAUGC
rnacentral:hammerhead_ribozyme from 1 species